GACGAACGCUGGCGGCGUGCUUAACACAUGCAAGUCGAACGGACAGGCCCUGCUUUUGUGGGUUGCUCGAGUGGCGAACGGGUGAGUAACACGUGUGUAACCUGCCCUUGUCUUUGGGGUAACUUCACGAAACUGGGGCUCUUAUACGAUAGGAGCUCCUGCUGCAUGGUGGGCGUUGGUAAGUUUCGGCGGUUGGGGAUGGACUCGCGGCUUAUCCGCUUGUUGGUGAGGUAGUGGCUUACCAAGGCUAUGACGGGUAGCCGGCCUGAGAGGGUGACCGGCCACAUGGGGACUGAGAGACGGCCCAGACUCCUACGGGAGGCAGCAGUGGGGAAUAUUGCGCAAUGGGCGGAAGCCAGAGGCAGCAACGCCGCGUGCGGGAUGACGGCCUUCGGGUUGUAAACCGCUUUCGCCGGAGACGAAGCGGGAGUGACGGUAAUGGGUAAAGAAGCACCGGCUAACUACGUG
rnacentral:rRNA from 1 species